GACGAACCGUGCGAACGUUAUUCGGAAUCACUGGGCUUAAAGCGCGUGUAGGCGGGAGGGCACGUCCGUCGCUGAAAUCCCCCGGCUCAACCGGGGAAGGGGCCUCGAUACGACCGGCCUGGAGGGGGGUAGGGGGAGCCGGAACUCACGGUGGAGCGGUGAAAUGCGUUGAGAUCGUGAGGAACGCCCGCGGCGAAAGCGGGCUCCUGGGCCCCGCCUGACGCUGAGACGCGAAAGCCAGGGGAGCGAACGGG
rnacentral:rRNA from 1 species